rnacentral:ncRNA from 1 species
CAAACAUAAAUAAAUGAAGAAAAGCUGGAAGGAAAUGUUCUCCUGACUUCUCUAUUUAUCUAAAACAUACUCAUACACACAGACAUACAAACUGCUGGGUAUACACCCAAACAUCUUUGGUAAUUCAUCUUCAAAGGCAGCCCAGUACCUAUGCGCACCAGUUUCAAACAUACCUUGCCUCCGCCAGUGCCCAGCAGCCAACUUAGAACUGGUGCAGACCAGGGGAAUCAACUGUUUAAUUAAAACAAAGCACAGCGAGGGCCUGAGGCAGGUGUUGACACGAUGUCAUUUCUACCCAGUGCUCUGAAUGUCAAACUGAAGAAAUUCAAUGAAGCACCGGUAAAUGGCAGGAGUGACUGCCAUUUACUCUCUUAAGAUAGCCAAAAUGCCUUGUCAUCUAAUUAGUGACUCACAUGAAUGGAUGAAAGAGAUUCUCACUGUCUCUACCUACUAUCCAUCGAAACCACAGCCAAGGGAAUGGGCUUGG